GGAGAAAUCUAAACGGCCGCGGAAUUUUAACCGUGCUAAGGUAGCAUAAUCAUUUGUCCUUUAAUUAAGGACUUGUAUGAAUGGUCAAACGAAAUAAAGCUAUCUAUAGAAUAUUAAAUAAAAAUUAUUUUUAAAGUGAAAAAUCUUUAAUACAAUAAAAAGACAAAAAGACCCUAUAGAGUUUUAUUCAUCACUAUAAAUAAAUAUAAAUGAAUUUAGUUGGGGCAACUAAUGAAAAAAGAAAUUUCUUUUUAUUAGCUAAAAAUAUAAUCAUUAAUUUAAUAAUAUAAAAUAAAUUACCUUAGGGAUAACAGCGUAACUUUUUUUGAGAGUCCAAAUCGAAAAAAAAAAUUAC
rnacentral:rRNA from 1 species